rnacentral:rRNA from 1 species
UACGUAGGGCGCAAGCGUUAUCCGGAAUUAUUGGGCGUAAAGAGCUCGUAGGCGGUUUGUCGCGUCUGCCGUGAAAGUCCGGGGCUCAACUCCGGAUCUGCGGUGGGUACGGGCAGACUAGAGUGAUGUAGGGGAGACUGGAAUUCCUGGUGUAGCGGUGAAAUGCGCAGAUAUCAGGAGGAACACCGAUGGCGAAGGCAGGUCUCUGGGCGAUUAACUGACGCUGAGGAGCGAAAGCAUGGGGAGCGAACAGG